ensembl:lncRNA
CUGGGGUUAUUUGCUAGAUGGAGUGCGUUUGUGUUUCUUGGCUUCCUGAAAGCUGUGUCUGUCUUUUUCACUGCCUGGCUGGAGAGACUCGGGGGAGAAAGAAGGCGUUGUGCUUGAUGGCACGGUUUCCUUGGGCAAAGGAUGCUUUGGCAGCAGAGGUUUGCUGUCAGGAGGCAUGAAAGCACUGAAGCCAAUGCUGCCGUGCCCUGGGCCCAGAGACAUCAGCUCCCAGCACGUCCCUGGCGGUGGAUGUGUGCAAGCUCUGUGUCUGCCAGUGGUUGCUCCAAAGGCUUUGUGGUCAGCUGUGCGUGGCUGUUUUGCUCUUGAGGGCGUGGGAACAGAGGGCAACACGCUGAUGGGAGUGAUGGUGUCCUGCUCAGCAAUGGAUGUGCUGGGUGGCAGAAGAGGAUUCUUGGCCGAGCGUGGAAAAUCUCUCUGCUCCUUCCUGAAGGACACAGUAUUCCACUUGGAAAGGGCCUCCAAGGAUCCCUGGUAUCCUCUGAGAGCUCUGAGCUGCCACACCAAUUUGAAGCUGACUUCAUUUCUGGUCUUCCCCUUCAGCAGAAAAGCUCAGACAGCUGAGCCAAGCGAGACGCUGGAUUUCCUUUGGCAUCAAGGAAAGCAUCGUGAGAUGUUCUGAUGCCCUCUCACAAUUCUUUCUCCCUCCGCCAGCACCAGAGCUGGCGUCCAAAGACGCAAUGACACUGCCACAGGCAUUGUGGAGAUUUCUAUGGGAUAGGGCCAUGGUUCUUUCUGCCUGCUCUUCUUAGCCCUGCGCCUGAGAAGUCUGACUGAGUCGCAUGCCAGAAGUGGAAGCCGGGAUGGAGUGCCUUGCGAUGCCUGCGACGGGCUGGACUGAGCCCUUGAGGAAGGUCUGGAAUCGUUGCUGAAAGAUUCGUUGGCUUUGGGCAACUUCAGCACCGCAGCCACACGAUGGGCUUUUUCCGCUUCCCGUUCUUCCUCACGGAAGCUCACGUGUUUGGUUCCCGGGGCUCGGCCCAGGUCUUCUUGGCUGUCUGUUUCUGCCUGGCCCUGCAGCUGGCAGGUCAGCGGCUGCUUUUGGUCUUCAGGCACUCCAGGGAUG